rnacentral:lncRNA from 1 species
UUUCAAUAUUGCUUCUGUAGGGUUUCAGAACCCGCCCCCUGAUACGGCACAAUUUCUGUCUUUCAUCUGGGCAUCGACACCUGACCAAAUAAAGAAUAAACACCUGGUUUACAUACCAGCGGUAUCUAACCCCUCGUGCUUCACCAAUCAUCAAUCUAGCUACUAAUAUUGAUCCACCCAUUUUCACUUCUUUCUUGGAAACAACACUCCUACACUAUCUGCCAACACAAUC